GAAUGGGCAUACCUGCAGAAAUGCAGGGACGCAAAGCUAGGGGUCUAAGGGGAUUUAUAUUUCUAUGAUAGCUCGGCUGCA
rnacentral:ncRNA from 1 species